CCUAUGAGUAGCGUUAAAGGGGGUGAAAAGCCCCCUCGCCGUAAGCGCAAGGUUUUCUACGCAACGUUCAUCGGCGUAGAGUGAGUCGGCCCCUAAGGCGAGGCAGAGAUGCGUAGCUGAUGGGAAACAGGUCAAUAUUCCUGUACCGAUGUGUAGUGCGAUGUGGGGACGGAGAAGGUUAGCUCAGCCAACUGUUGGAUGUUGGUUCAAGCCUGUAGUCAUGCCCGGUAGGCAAAUCCGCCGGGCUUAGAUGAGGGGUGAUAACGAGUCUGCUUGCAGACGAAGUGAGUGAUACCCUGCUUCCAGGAAAAGCCACUAAGCUUCAGCUACACACGACCGUACCGCAAACCGACACUGGUGCGCGAGAUGAGUAUUCUAAGGCGCUUGAGAGAACUCAGGAGAAGGAACUCGGCAAAUUGACACCGUAACUUCGGAAGAAGGUGUGCCUUUAGUAGGUGAACCAUUUACUUGGGGAGCCCAAUGAGGUUGCAAAAAAUCGGUGGCUGCGACUGUUUAUUAAAAACACAGCACUCUGCAAACACGAAAGUGGACGUAUAGGGUGUGACGCCUGCCCGGUGCUGGAAGAUUAAAUGAUGGGGUGCAAGCUCUUGAUUGAAGUCCCAGUAAACGGCGGCCGUAACAAUAACGGUCCUAAGGUAGCGAAAUUCCUUGUCGGGUAAGUUCCGACCUGCACGAAUGGCGUAACGAUGGCCACACUGUCUCCUCCUGAGACUCAGCGAAGUUGAAAUGUUUGUGAUGAUGCAAUCUCCCCGCGGAAAGACGGAAAGACCCCAUGAACCUUUACUGUAGCUUUGUAUUGGACUUUGAACAGAUCUGUGUAGGAUAGGUGGGAGGCUUUGAAGCAGGGUCGCUAGAUCUUGUGGAGCCAACGUUGAAAUACCACCCUGGUGUGUUUGAGGUUCUAACCUAGGUCCAUUAUCUGGAUCGGGGACAGUGCAUGGUAGGCAGUUUGACUGGGGCGGUCUCCUCCCAAAGCGUAACGGAGGAGUUCGAAGGUACGCUAGGUACGGUCGGACAUCGUGCUAAUAGUGCAAUGGCAUAAGCGUGCUUAACUGCGAGACUGACAAGUCGAGCAGAUGCGAAAGCAGGACAUAGUGAUCCGGUGGUUCUGUAUGGAAGGGCCAUCGCUCAACGGAUAAAAGGUACUCUGGGGAUAACAGGCUGAUACCGCCCAAGAGUUCAUAUCGACGGCGGUGUUUGGCACCUCGAUGUCGGCUCAUCUCAUCCUGGGGCUGUAGCCGGUCCCAAGGGUAUGGCUGUUCGCCAUUUAAAGAGGUACGUGAGCUGGGUUUAAAACGUCGUGAGACAGUUUGGUCCCUAUCUUCCGUGGGCGCUGCAGAUUUGAGGAAGCCUGCUCCUAGUACGAGAGGACCGGAGUGGACACACCUCUGGUGUAUCGGUUGUCACGCCAGUGGCAUUGCCGAGUAGCUAAGUGUGGAAGAGAUAAACGCUGAAAGCAUCUAAGCGUGAAACUCGUUUCAAGAUGAGAUCUGCCGGGGCCUUGAGCCCCCUAAAGAGUCGUUCAAGACCAGGACGUUGAUAGGUCAGGUGUGGAAGCGCAGUAAUGCGUUAAGCUAACUGAUACUAAUUGCUCGUGCGGCUUGAC
rnacentral:rRNA from 1 species